rnacentral:lncRNA from 1 species
ACUAUUUGGGGUUUGCAUUUUGCAGGUUUUUAUUUGUGUGCGUUCAAAUACACUUUACAACAUGGCUGGAUUUUUUUCUCAUGUAUUUUAACAAGCCAACACUCAGGCACUUUUUAAAAAUAUUUGAGUGUGAAACAAACCCUGAAAAAGUGUAGAUGGGCCAUUUAUCAAAAAAAGCACAUCUUGAAAAGUUUUAGAUAUAUGAAGCAAAAAUAUCCCAGCACUUAUUCUAUGUGUCAAAACUUUGGACCAUAAAACUUAAAAAAACAAUGCUGUGGUCGCCAAGUCUGACAAAAAACCACAGACCGAGCAGGUGUAUCAUUACCUCAACAUCCUCGUUUGGUGUGGCAUUUGUUCUGCAUGCUAUUUACCUCAAGACCUUCUGUGAGGCAACAGUGUUAACCACUGCACCACCAUGCUGCCAUUUACCACCAUUUAUGCAAUCCAUAUGAGUCCUGCUUUACUUAGUGACCUCUGUCCUCCUGUUGCAGGUGUGUGUGUGCUGCUGCUGUCUGCACCGACUGUUUCUGCAGUGUCUCUGAGUUGUGUUGAUGAUGGACAGACAGCUGAUGGAUGGACAGUGAAGAGGACCAGAGGAGGACUCACUGAGGACUGUGGAGCAGCUGCAGGCUUUGGGAGGCUUCUUGGUUCCUCCUGUGUUCUGGAUCGCUCCAUCUCCUCUGAUGGAAGUUACUUCUGUGAGAACCCAUCUGGACAGCAGAGUGAUAAAUUGUCCAUCAGUGUUUCAGGUAGAGACAGGGAGAUGUUCCAGCGGUGUCUCUGUGCAGAUGUUUCCAGAGGUUGGAUGUAACAUUACUGUUUUUCCAAAGACAUUGUGUCAUGCUCUGUUUGUGUUUCUGUUGGUUAGAUAAAGGUGUGAUCCUGGAGAUUCCUGCACUUCCUGUGAGGACAGGAAGUAACAUGACUUUGUGUUGCAGACGGAGGAAUGGUGGCACAGUCAGAGCAUAUUUCUUCAUUAAUGGAAGUCAUGUUGGGUCUGAAUCUAAAUCAGAGCUCAUCAUCACAAACGUCCAGCAGUCUGAUGAAGGUCUCUACUCAUGUUCUACUGACACAUUUGGAGAAUCUCAUCAGAGCAUUCUGUGGGUCAGAGGUCAGAACACUGACAUCACUUCUGUUUUAAUGACAAGCACUCACCUGCUGACCUGAUAAUGAACUGACUGAACCAUCUUCAUCCUCACCACAGCCUGCACCUCUCCUGUAAACUCUCCCGAUACUUCUGCAUGUCCGUGUACUGGGACAGCAUCUCCUACUCUUUCCUCCUCCUCCUCCAUCGUUGCCAUGAUAGCCGGUCUGGUUUCUGUGAUUCUUCUGGUUCUAGUUCUGCUUGGAGCUCUGCUCCUCUAUAGGAAAUUAAAAGGUAUAAAGUCUUUUAGAUUUGACAGUUUGCAGUCAAAUCAGUGUGGAUCAUAUAAGAGAGUCUAGAGUGCAGCAGUGUCACAUUCCUAAACCGUCCUCUGAAAGGCAGUGGGAAACCAUUUUAACAGUGCUUCAGAUGCUUUUUCAUAAUGAUGAUGAUAAUAAUAAUAAUAAUAAUAAUAAUAAUAAUAAUAAUAAUAAUAAUAAUAAUGAUAAAAAUGAUGUGACAGCUGUUUCUCCUCUACCAUCACGAUGAGUGCCCAGGCCUAUAAAAGGGUUCACUCUGUUAAGUUGUUAGAGUUUAAACCAGUGCAGGACCAGAGUACUGUUUAGUUUACUUGCUCUUGUACUUUAAGAAGUAAGUGAUUAAUUAAUUAAUCUUUAGCUGAGUGUUAAUGUCCAAUCUGGGCUC